UACGGGGGGGGCAAGCGUUGUUCGGAAUUACUGGGCGUAAAGGGCUCGUAGGCGGCCAACUAAGUCAGACGUGAAAUCCCUCAGCUUAACUGGGGAACUGCGUCUGAUACUGGAUGGCUUGGAUUCGGGAGAGGAAUGCGGAAUUCCGCGUGUAGCAGUGAAAUGCGUAGAGAUGCGGAGGAACACCGAUGGCGAAGGCAGCCCCCUGGGUCGACACUGACGCUCAGGCACGAAAGCGUGGGGAGCAAACAGG
rnacentral:rRNA from 1 species